rnacentral:rRNA from 1 species
CGGACGGGUGAGUAACGCGUGGGUAACCUGCCUCAUACAGGGGGAUAACGGUUAGAAAUGACUGCUAAUACCGCAUAAGCGCACAGUACCACAUGGUACAGUGUGAAAAACUCCGGUGGUAUGAGAUGGACCCGCGUCUGAUUAGCUAGUUGGUGAGGUAACGGCCCACCAAGCCGACGAUCAGUAGCCGACCUGAGAGGGUGACCGGCCACAUUGGGACUGAGACACGGUCCAG